rnacentral:rRNA from 1 species
GGCCAGACUCCUACGGGAGGCAGCAGUGGGGAAUAUUGGGCAAUGGGCGCAAGCCUGACCCAGCAACGCCGCGUGAAGGAAGAAGGCUUUCGGGUUGUAAACUUCUUUUCUCAGGGACGAAGCAAGUGACGGUACCUGAGGAAUAAGCCACGGCUAACUACGUGCCAGCAGCCGCGGUAAUACGUAGGGAGCGAGCGUUGUCCGGAAUUACUGGGCGUAAAGGGCGCGUAGGCGGGAACUUAAGUUAGAUGUGAAAACUCCGGGCUUAACCUGGAGACUGCAUUUAAAACUGGGUUUCUUGAGGGCAGGAGAGGAAAGUGGAAUUCCUAGUGUAGCGGUGAAAUGCGUAGAUAUUAGGAGGAACACCAGUGGCGAAGGCGGUCUGCUGGACAGCAACUGACGCUGAGGCGCGAAAGCGUGGGGAGCAAACAGGAUUAGAUACCCUCGUAC